UUCAAUUAAAUGAAAGUCUCUCUACCAAAUGAUAGAUAGAUAAAGACAUGUCUAGUAGGUAAGCUAGGUACAUCGAGGAGGGGGGCACUACACAAUUCACAUUAUCUAAGGGCUGAGAUUGCCUAUGCUGGGCCUUGUGUAAGGUCAUAAUCAGUUUUUUUCAAUUCACCUUUUUCUAUGGGGACAAGCUACCAUUGCUCUAAAAGAAAAAUCAAAUCCUAACUGCGACAAGAGACAAUCAACAUUACAAAAAGCAGAGGCUACCAUUCUUUGGAAUCACUAUUCCCACCAUUACCCAUUAACCGAAUAUUGGAUAAGCUCAGCCUACUUGUACUAGUCACACUGACCCUAAUCUUCCUUUCUGUUGUUUUCGUUCAACCCACAAAUAAAUUGAGAGAGAUACAUACUCUCCCAUUCUCUUCUCUUUUAUCCUCUCCUCUUAUCGUAUAACUAUUGAUAACUGCAACUUUAUAUGCAAGCGCACAAGUGAUACUGAUGAUUCAUCAGAGAAUACAAG
rnacentral:misc_RNA from 1 species